AGAGGUCUAGAAGUACUACACCACUAAGGCACCGGAGUUUUAUACCAGAACUUACGCUGCCCCGAGCCACUCCAAUGACGCCCUGAAGAAUUACUCUGCCCCGAGUUACUACACCACCAAGGCGACGGAGUAUGACUAUGCAUGCUGCCCCAUCCUACUACAUCGAGGCUCCCAACUUCUACACCGAGUCUUCCGCUGAUUACUCCACCGAGUCUUCCGCUGAUUACUCCACCGAGUCUUCCGCUGAUUACUCCACCGAGUCUUCCGCUGAUUACUCCACCGAGGCUCCCGCUGAUUACUCCACCGAGGCUCCCGCUAAUUACUCCACCGAGGCUCCCGCUGAUUACUCCACCGAAGCGUCAAAGUACUACUCUGCCCCGACGUACUACACAGAAACUGAUCUUUCGUGCUACGUUGAACAGAAAUACUACACUGAUGCUCCAGUUCGCUACACCACGGCCUACGCUACACAGCAGCCCCCAAGUACUACACCGAAGGAGCCGUCUAUUACACAACAACGUAUGCUGCAGUACUACACCGAGGCUCCCAAGUACUACAUCACUAAGGCAACGGAUUUCUACACGUCUAUGUAUGCUGCCCCUGCCUACUACACCGAGGCCCCGCAUUACUACAAUAAUGAAUCGCUCAAUUACUACACUACAACCUACGCUGCCCCGAGCUACUACACCUACGUCCCGAAGUAUUACUGUGCGUAAAAGGAGUCGUCUAAAAAAAAGUCGUGCCCGAAUUGCAGUGCCCUAUCUGUCACCAACAGCGUUCCUCAUCGUGUAACCGAUUCGCAAUUCUGGUUAACUAUGGCGUCGUGCUCCUGUUGGGUGUUGUAUCGUUGAUGGCUGGAUCGAACGCAGGUGUAGUGAUGUCUUCUUGAUAUGGCGGAUAUCAAACUGCAACGCCGCCGCUUUCCUACACAACUUACGCAACGAUCAGUUCCUGCACCGAGGUCUUCAAGUACUACGCCACUAAAGCACCGGAGUUUUAUACCACAACUUAUGCUGUCCCGAGCCACUACACUGACACCCCGAAGUAUUACUCUGCCCCGAGUUACUACACCACCAUGGCGACCGAGUACUACAUGACAAGGCAUGCUGCCCCAUCCUACUACACCGAGGCUCCCAAGCUCCUGCUGAUAACUACACCAAAACGGUCGAAUACUACACCGAAGCGGCAAAGUACUUCUCUGCCCCCAGCUACUCAACCAGAACUGAGGCGGCCAAUUAUUACGCAGUCCCGACUUACAACCCAGAAGCUGCUCUUUCGUACUACGUUGAACAGAAAUACUACACUGCUCCAAUCUACUACACCACGACCUACGCUACACCUAGCUACAACUCCGCAGCCGCCAAGUACUACACCGAACAAGUCGCCUGUUACACAACCACGUACGCUGCCUGGUAUACUACAUCGAGGAAUUUAAGUAUUAUCCUGCUCCAAAUUACUACCAUCUGAAGUUCAUAUGUAUUACACCAGCAAUUCUCCUGACUGUCAUCAAUGUUGCUCCGACCUAUACAUUGAAGUUCUGAAGUAUUUCACUGGAUGUGUUGAAAGAUUGCUGAAAUACAAGAUUGAUCGAUAAA